rnacentral:rRNA from 1 species
CGGGGAGGUAGUGACGAAAAAUAACGAUACGGGACUCAUCCGAGGCCCCGUAAUCGGAAUGAGUACACUUUAAAUCCUUUAACGAGGACCAAUUGGAGGGCAAGUCUGGUGCCAGCAGCCGCGGUAAUUCCAGCUCCAAUAGCGUAUAUUAAAGUUGUUGCGGUUAAAAAGCUCGUAGUUGAAUCUGUGUGUCACAGUGUCGGUUCACCGCUCGCGGUGUUUAACUGGCAUUAUGUGAUACGUCCUAUCGGUGGGCUUAGCUCCUUGCGGGCGGUCCAACUAAUCUCCCAUCGCGGUGCUCUUCACUGAGUGUCGAGGUGGGCCGAUACGUUUACUUUGAACAAAUUAGAGUGCUUAAAGCAGGCUACCUUCGCCUGAAUACUGUGUGCAUGGAAUAAUGGAAUAGGACCUCGGUUCUAUUUUGUUGGUUUUCGGAGCCCCGAGGUAAUGAUUAAUAGGGACAGAUGGGGGCAUUCGUAUUGCGACGUUAGAGGUGAAAUUCUUGGAUCGUCGCAAGACGGACAGAAGCGAAAGCAUUUGCCAAAAAUGUUUUCAUUAAUCAAGAACGAAAGUUAGAGGUUCGAAGGCGAUCAGAUACCGCCCUAGUUCUAACCAUAAACGAUGCCAGCCAGCGAUCCGCCGAAGUUCUUCAGAUGACUCGGCGGGCAGCUUCCGGGAAACCAAAGCUUUUGGGUUCCGGGGGAAGUAUGGUUGCAAAGCUGAAACUUAAAGGAAUUGACGGAAGGGCACCACCAGGAGUGGAGCCUGCGGCUUAAUUUGACUC